AAAUUGUCAGUGUUCAGUGACUGUUUUUUUCCAUGCUGAUAAACUAUUACACAGAAAAGGAAAAUUUUCGUGCUGAUAAACUAUUACACAGAAAAAGAAAUGUAUCCAUAAUGGACAAUUAAAAGGGCUAUACAAUCUCUCUCACUGUAUGAUUCUGGUUUUUUUCUUUUUCUUUUCUUUUUUUCUUUUUUUUAAGACAGGAUCUCACUCUGUCACCCAGGCUGGAAUGCAGUGGCUCUAUCUUGGCACACUGCAACCUCAGCCUCCUGGGUUCAAGCUAUUCUCCUGCCUUAGCCUCCUGAGUAGCUAGGACUAGACGCAUUCACCACCACGCCCAGCUAAUUUGUGCAUUUUAAAAAUACAGGUGGGGUUUUGCCAUGUUGCCCAGGCUGGUCUUGAACUCCUGACCUCAAAUGAUCCUCCCACCUCGGCCUCCCUAAAUGUUGGCAUUACAGGCAUAAGCCACCAGGCUUGGCCUGAUUCUGUUUUUUAACACAAUUCCUAUUACUUCUGUUUUAAUUUUACAAAGCCAUAGGUUUUUAAUCUGAGAAACCUUUGAGAAAGCAUCCAGAUAAAUUUAUAAAUAGAAAAAUAAAUUCAGAUACAUAGAAUUAAGUUUAUGAUCUAAUUAGUGGGUGGCAACUGAAAAAUUUUCAAGUUCCAUAAACUGAAGUGAAAGGAUCACUUUCCUGAAAAUAUUACAAAGGCUUGAUAAUUACCUGGAUUGUACUAAAACCUACACAAUCUAGUAUAUUCUAUAGCAGCAAUUCAUAAAGACAGCUUCACUUACCAUGUAGAAUUUAUACGUACACUAAAUUUAAGGAAUGCAUUACUUGUUAUUGGAGAAGGAUAAUAACUCACAGCCGAACUGAUUUGCAUGAAUGCCUAUUAAACUAUCAUCGAUGUAGAAAUUAAAAGUUAAGCUAUUCAGCCCCAGAUGUGUGAGAGACAGAGAAAAUCUUCAAAAGAGUUCAGCUACCAAAUCUCUUCCUCAAUAGCUCUUUGAGUCUCCAGACAGUUUCAACCACACACAGCCUCAGAGUCUUAUGGUCCAAACAACAAUUGACUGCAGCUCUAAAGUAAGAAAACAUUUGAAAAGAAACAAUCAAAGAUCUAUGCCAAGUUAUGGUCAAGGAGGUCCACCUACUGGUGGGUGAGCAUGGCAAGGAUAGGGACUAAGCCAAAUGAUGGGUUUACCAAAACAGAAACAAGAGAAGCCAAUGGAAACAGAGUCCAGGUUAUAACAGGAGCCCAGGCACUUGAUGUGGGAACUCUAUUUGUCUCAUUUAGCAGCUAGAGUUUUAACGUCCUAUGAGGCACAGCUAAUGCCCUUCAUUAUUAUUUUUUGUAAUUGACUGCAUAGUUUAGAACUAUGCCUUGAAUUUAAUAUCUGUCUGUUGAAGAAGAGAAUAAUGAUGAAAAUCUGUCCACAGGUUCUGUGCAGUACUGAAGAGCAACUUCAGCUCUUGAGUUACAGCUCAAUGCAACCUCCUGGCAGGCCAGCCUUAAGCCCAGCAGUCCAACCAUGCAUCUAAGCUGAGUUCUCAUCAGAGCCAACUUCAAUUAUAAACAACUGAGAUGAUGCCAGAGGCCAGAAUCCCUGAGAACCCAAUUUGCUGUCAUCACCAUGGCUGAAACAAGGUGCUUGGCAUCUAGAAAAGGUGACCUUCAUAAUGCAGGCAAUAGAGAAUUGCAAGAUUUGUCAGAGAUUUCAGGUCUUUGGAAAGCUAUGCUCUUUCACAAGAACAGCCAUGGAAACAGGAAGAAAGUCAAUUCCCACUUAAGAGAUCAUCAGAGUCAAGCUACAAGAAAAGGAGGAACAUAUCUCAGCAAAGACUUAGAGGACUAAUACUGUGAAAUCAAAAUUUCAAGUGAGGGAAUAAAUGCAGCUUUUAAUGAUUACUUAAAUGAAGUUUAACUCUAGCAGGAUCUACAAGAAAUUGGCAACCUUUGGCUUCAGUAACAGAAACUCAGGAUAUAUGUCCUUCAGUGCUUUUGGAUUCUGCAUCAUAUUGAGAGAGACUCCUUUAAACAAGCAAUAAGAAACUUCCUGUGACAACAUAAUAAAUUCAAAAAGUUCUGUUACUCAGACAAUUUAGAUAGAAGCGAGGACUUUGGCCUAGACAGCCCUGUUCACUCUAAAGAUGGACUAAACAA